AUUGAACGCUGGCGGAAUGCUUUACACAUGCAAGUCGAACGGUAGAGGGGGCAACCCCUUGAGAGUGGCGAACGGGUGAGUAAUAUAUCGGAACGUGCCCAGUCGUGGGGAUAACGUAGCGAAAGCUACGCUAAUACCGCAUACGAUCUACGGAUGAAAGCGGGGGAUCGCAAGACCUCGCGCGAUUGGAGCGGCCGAUAUCAGAUUAGGUAGUUGGUGAGGUAAAGGCUCACCAAGCCGACGAUCUGUAGCUGGUCUGAGAGGAUGAUCAGUCACACUGGAACUGAGACACGGUCCAGACUCCUACGGGAGGCAGCAGUGGGGAAUAUUGGACAAUGGGCGAAAGCCUGAUCCAGCCAUGCCGCGUGUGUGAAGAAGGUCUUCGGAUUGUAAAGCACUUUAAGUUGGGAGGAAGGGUAGGUAACCUAAUACGUUGCUACUUUGACGUUACGACAGAAUAAGCACCGGCUAACUUCGUGCCAGCAGCCGACGG
rnacentral:rRNA from 1 species